CUGUUAAAAAGCUCGUAGUUGGAUCAAGAGUGCGACAGUGCAAGGUGGCCUCGCUUGCUCACUUGGCUCCGGUCAUGUGUGCGGCGGCGGGUCAACCCCUUGCGCCAAACUGUCGUCUCUAACAGACCGAAGCGGUUCCCUGUGAGUAGGCCACUUAAUUGGGGCUGAAAGCGUUUACGCAUCAACCACAUGCAUACGGGACGUCGGUCAAAGUUACUGUGAACAAACCAGCGUGUCCAAAACAGGCUUUGCCUGAAUGUCCGAGCAUGAAAUGACAAGGGAUCGAUUCUCUCGGUUCUUUUUGUUGGUUUUUAACCCGAGAAGGAGUAAUUCAGGCCAAGGUGUCUGGGCUGGGUUCCCCUUCACUUCGGUGAAGGCCCCAGUUAGGCCUUGUCCUUACGGGAUAAAUAGGGACUGACGGGGUCGUACGUACUUCCACGUCAGAGGUGAAAUUCUUAGAUCGUGGGAAGACGAACUUCUGCGAAAGCAUUCGACAAGAAUGUCUUCAUUAAUCAAGAACGAGAGUGUGGGGAUCGAAGAUGAUCAGAUACCGUCGUAGUCCACUACUGUAAACAAUGCCGUCUCAGGAUUGAGAAGUGAACCUAAUGACUUUCACAGCACUAACCCCUGAAACGAGAAAUCAAAGAUUAUGG
rnacentral:rRNA from 1 species